rnacentral:rRNA from 1 species
UGGGGAAUUUUGGACAAUGGGCGCAAGCCUGAUCCAGCCAUGCCGCGUGAGUGAUGACGGCCUUAGGGUUGUAAAGCUCUUUUGCCUGGGAAGAUAAUGACGGUACCAGGAGAAUAAGCCCCGGCUAACUUCGUGCCAGCAGCCGCGGUAAUACGAAGGGGGCUAGCGUUGUUCGGAUUUACUGGGCGUAAAGCGCACGUAGGCGGAUUCUUAAGUCAGGGGUGAAAUCCCGAGGCUCAACCUCGGAACUGCCUUUGAUACUGGGGAUCUCGAGUUCGGGAGAGGUGAGUGGAAUUGCGAGUGUAGAGGUGAAAUUCGUAGAUAUUCGCAAGAACACCAGUGGCGAAGGCGGCUCACUGGCCCGAUACUGACGCUGAGGUGCGAAAGCGUGGGGAGCAAAC